rnacentral:lncRNA from 1 species
CUAGCUACUUUAAUCACCAUGGGUAUUUUGUCAGAAUAGGUGAGGUUGGGGUAGGGGAAGUGUCCUGUGACUGUCUGGAGAAGAGCCCAAAGCAACUGAACAUUUAGUCUCUUCACUGGUGCUGGCUUUGGGGGCCAGGACUAGGGCCUGGGGCCUGCUCUUUGGACUUGGCUGAGUGCCCAGGCCUGGCCUCUGUCUCCCAGAAUCAGACAGGGGCCUUUCCCAAUAAGGAGCUUCCCAACUCUGGGUCCACUUCCCUGUUGCCCCCACCCCUUCUCCCCUCUAACAGUUCUUCUGCCCUAAAAUGGCCACGUUUUGCCUUUCUUCCCUCCCCUACACCCAGGUUUGGGCCCCAGGGGUAGAGCUGGGGGUUGGAUAAGGGUAAGACUGCACAGGGGCCAGAUGGGCUGGUUUGGAGAAGGGUAAUGAGAUCCCAGGAAGAGAGAGGAACCGUGCCACAUGACUCAGCCACCAAGCAGCCCUAUGGAGAGGCCAAUGUGGAGAGAAACUGAGGCCUUCCACCAAAAGCCAGCACCAACUUGCUAUCCAUGUGAGUGAACCAGCUUGCAGUACAGAGUGGUCAACCCCAGUCAAGCUUUCAGAUAACUACAAGCCUAGUUGACAUCUUGACUACAACUUCAAGAGAGACAUCAAGGCAGAACUGCUUCGCUAAACUGCUCUUGAAUUCUUGACCCACAGAAACUGAGAGAGAGAAUAAAUAUUUAUUGUUGUUUCAAGUAACUACAUCCUGGGGGUAACUUCUUAUGUAUAGAUAAUAUAUACCAUAAAUUUCUUGAAAGUAAGAUUCAUGUCUUACUUAUUUUACCUCAAGUUAUUAUAUCAACUACUCUCCCACCCCUAACCUAGGUGAUUAGAGCAUACUACAACAUCUGAUACAUAAGAAGUGAAAUGAUAUUCUCU